UACGUAGGGUGCGAGCGUUAAUCGGAAUUACUGGCGUAAAGCGUGCGCAGGCGGUGAUGUAAGACAGGUGUGAAAUCCCCGGGCUUAACCUGGGAACUGCAUUUGUGACUGCAUCGCUGGAGUGCGGCAGAGGGGGAUGGAAUUCCGCGUGUAGCAGUGAAAUGCGUAGAUAUGCGGAGGAACACCGAUGGCGAAGGCAAUCCCCUGGGCCUGCACUGACGCUCAUGCACGAAAGCGUGGGGGAGCAAACAGGA
rnacentral:rRNA from 1 species